UACGAGUGCCCCAAGCGUUAUCCGGAAUUAUUGGGCGUAAAGGGUGAGUAGGUGGCUAUAUUAGUCUUGUGUUAAAGACCCCGGCUCAACCGGGGAAGUGCAUAGGAAACGGUAUAGCUAGAGUAUGUGAGAGGUGUGUAGAACUCAUGGAGUAGGGGUGAAAUCCGUUGAUAUCAUGGGGAAUACCAAAAGCGUAGGCAGCACACUGGCACAUUACUGACACUGAAUCACGAAAGCGUGGGUAGCGAAUGGG
rnacentral:rRNA from 1 species